rnacentral:tRNA from 1 species
AGUUUAAGUAAAAUAAUAAUUUUGGAGAUUAUUGAUAAAUAAUUUUAUUUUUUUCUGAAGUUUUAA